rnacentral:rRNA from 1 species
AUGCAAGAUUUAUUUGCGGAGAAUCCUACAUAUCCUGCACACCUCUUCCGCAGAAGGUACCGAAUGCGUCGAUUCCUCUUUGUGAAACUUGUUGAAGCUUGCGAGGCAAAUUGCCGGUAUUUUGCUCAAAGAAGGAAUGCCGCGGGCUUAAAGGGAUUUAGUGCAUAUCAAAAAAUCUCCGCAGCGAUGCGGGUGAUUGCAUAUGGCGUUCCGGCUGACUAUGUCGAUGAGUAUCUUCGCAUUGGUGAAGAUAGCACAAUUGAGUCUGUGCGUAGAUUUGCGAAAGUGAUCGUCCGUUUCUUUGGUCCCGAGUAUCUUCGGGCACCCAAUGAAGAUGACACAAAGAAAUUGAUGGCAGCUAAUGAGAGGAGAGGUUGGCCUGGCAUGCUAGGUAGCAUUGAUUAUGGUAUAUACCCUCCUUGA